GCCCCGAAUCCAAAGAAGCCUUGCGACCCCGCUCCACCCUCCGUACCACGUGGGCCAGGCGCCCCGCAGCCUGAUCCCUCGGCUGAGGCGGGGUCAGAGGGCUAAGGGUGACUGACUGCCCAGUGCAUGGAUCUCAGCAGCACGGCUUGACUUUCGGGCGGCAGGCAAGGAUGCUAAUCCACAAGGUUCCUGAGUCCAACAUCCCUCCCUCCAAUGUGGGGCUCGAAUCCGCUAUUGCAACCAAACCCGGGUUCUGCCCGCAGGGUGGCGCAAUGACAAGAGCCACCAGGUGACCCUGGUAACUCCCGCACCUAGACCUGGAAAAGGCCAGUCCUGUGCAGUGUGGCCUUAGGGCAUCUACAGCUCUGGACAGAGGGAGAAGGUCCAAGUCCCUGCUUCCUGCUGAGGGGACGGCUAAGGAAGAGAAACUACCUUAAUGACCUACAGGAGCAGUUUUUCUGCAGCACCACAUCUGUAGCCCUGCAUGCCGCUGGCUCCAGUGUUGUGUGUGUGGUCAUGCUCCAUCCAGCCCAGCAGCAACUUUGGUGUUUGACACCCCUCGGGAGGCACCGCUUUGGAAGAGACUGGUAACAGCAGGGUGGGACCGGCUACUUAGCUGUUCUCAGUCUGAAAGGAUUCUGGAAAGGGGCUCUAUUUAACCCAAGCACUGGAGUCCAACACAGCCUCUGCCGUGUGACAGGUGUGUGCGGAGCCCAAGAUGUGUUGGGAACAGCUAUCGUUUCUACUGCUUUGUCCCAUGCCUCUGGAGCUCCUGGGUUCCUGAACUUCAAGCUGGGCCCCAUCCUUCACCCUAUCAGGGCCCUGGGUGGAGCUGACUUCCAACAGUAUACAGUGGGUCUUGGUACUUCCUCCUUGGCAUUCGACAGUUGGUGUUUUUGAAGUCAGAGCCAUCCUCAGUAGGCUCCUAGGGGAUCGUAAGCGGCUUUCUCUGGGUGGAAACCUACUCCAUGCAGCCUUCAGCAAAGGUACCAGCAUCUGUCACUGGGAUGGGGAAGUCCGGUGAUCGUGUCAGCAUGGGCUACGGUGGACGGGGAAAGGCUCGUUCUGACACUAGACACCUGGGUCUCUAGCCCUAUGCCUGGAUUUGUCUGGGGAACUCUGCACCACACUGAUCCUGGCUUUCCCCAUUACCUGCUCCAUGCCAGGAUCCUACGGCUGUUGAUCCCCUCGGAAGUGAGACAUAAUGUCCCGGAGCAGAUGCUGAUGGGGACUCACUGUUGGGCCACCUGAUUUCUGUGUUCAUCUUCCCAGGCUCCACCUUUCAGAUCCCAUCCCUGGUGUCUGCAGUUACAACUUUACUAACCAGAACUUUGUUUCCAGCUUACGCUGAAAAGCAAAGGGUGACUUAGAAUAAAAAUGUAACAAAUAGCCCCAUAGCCCAAACCUUUUCUGCCAUGAUUUACUGUACCAGAUACCUAUAAGUGUCCAGGGCAAAUUAAACACAUCAAUAAAUGGCUUUCUUGUG
rnacentral:lncRNA from 1 species